rnacentral:tRNA from 1 species
GGUCCCGUAAUUGAGUUGGUUAGAGCCUUGGUCUUAGGAGCCGAAAGCCGUGGGUUCGAGCCCCGCGGGGACCU